rnacentral:rRNA from 1 species
AUAUAAAUAUAUAAGUAAAUUUCAUUUAUAUUAUUUAAUACAAUAAAAACAUUAUUAAAUUAAGUAAAAGUGAUUAAAAAUUAAUAUAUUAUUAUAAAUUUAAGUACUGAAGAGGAAAAUUGAUAAUAAUCUGCAAGAAAAAAUUAAGUUUUGUACCUUUUGCAUCAUGGUUUAGCUAGAUUUAUUUAUAGUUAUAAUUUCUCGAAACCUAAUGAGCUAUUUUUAAUUUUUGUUUUAGCAAAUAUAAGAUAGUUGUAGCAAAAACUUCUGAAUAAAUAAAAAUAGAAAUGAAAUUUUAUUCGGAUUAGGUGAUAGCUAGUUCUUUUUAAAAGGCAUAGAAGUGCUGCUUACUAAGUUUUUAGAAAAUAUAAUUUUUAAUUAACUCUUAGUAACGUUAAAUUUUUGAGGAUAAGCUCAAAAAUUAAAUAUAAAUAUAUGCAAUUAAUUUUAUAUUAAAUUUAAGCUUGAAAAUAGCUAUAAUUAUAAGAUUUUGUUAUAAUUUUAUAUUAAUCUUAUAAAUACAAUUAAUUUGCUUAUAAUAUAAAAAGGAGAAUUCAAUAACUUAAUAAUGAAUUAUAUUAAUGCUAAGAUGAGUAUUAACUUAAAUAGUUUAUUAACAUAGUUUAGGCCGUAUAAAACUAUUGAAUAUUAAAUACAUUUUUAAUUAAAUUAUAUGAAGGAACUCGGCAAAUACUUAUUCUGCCUGUUUAUCAAAAACAUGGCUCCUUGAAAAUUGUAUAUAGGGAGUCGGACCUGCCCAGUGAAUAAUUUUUUUAACGGCCGCGGUACUCUGACCGUGCAAAGGUAGCAUAAUCAUUUGCCCUAUAAUUGAGGGCUAGUAUGAAUGGUUUGACAAGAAUAAAGCUGUCUCCGUAUAAUUUUAUAGAAUUUUAUUUAUAGGUGAAGAAGCCUAUAUAUUAUUAAAAGACAAGAAGACCCUGUCGAGCUUUAAAAAAAUUAGUAAAUCAAUGAUCAUAUUUUAUAUAAGCAAUGUUUAUUAGAAAUUUUGGUUGGGGCGACUAAGGAACAAAUAAAGCUUCUUAAUACAUAUAAAUUACAUGCAAGUAAUGAUCCAGAACAUUUUGAUCAAAGGAAUUAGUUACCGCAGGGAUAACAGCAUUAUCUUUUUUAAGAGCUCAUAUCGAAAAAAAGGUUUGUGACCUCGAUGUUGGACCAGAGUAUCCUGAAGAUGCAGAAGUCUUCAAGGGUUGGUCUGUUCGACCAUUAAAAUUCUACGUGAUCUGAGUUCAGACCGGCGUGAGCCAGGUCAGUUUCUAUCUUUUAUUAAAAAUAAUAAGUUUAGUACGAAAGGACCAAUUUAUUGUAUCUAAAAGAUAUCAUUUAUGAUAACCUAUAAUAAAAAAAUUAAUAUAUAAACUGACA